ACGCACAUUGUUUUAUAUUUUACAUCCGUUAUUGUUUGGCUUUUUUUGUUAAUAAGAUAUUUUUCGCUUAAAUACUCUUCCAGUUUUAUAAAUAUGUCUCUCCAAGACAUAGGCCGUACGCAGAUGUGAAACGUGCGAUAUCAGCACGCGGUGGCCUCAUAUUGAAGACUGCAUAUAUUCUCAUAAUUCCCAUUAGUUUUGCGAGGCGAUAAUUGUGAAUGCGUUAAAAGAAAUUUUCAAUGGCUAAUUCCACGGCAGCGCCACCUACAAUGAUGGAAAGAAAUUGAACGAGGAGCAACCGCGCAAACAAGAGGAUGAAAAAACGACGAAACCCUGCACCGAGAAAAAUCCUCGAAACAAAGAAACUAGGAUCGAUGGAAACUAAUUCAAUGAGGACAAAGCAACAGACCGAGAGAACGAGAGAACGAGAGAAUGAGGGAACGAGAGAACCGACAAGCCACGAGAAAAGGAACGAGGCAAGACGAUGGAACAAACUGGUGUGGAAGUGUUGAAAUACACAAAAAAUUUCCAAUAUAAUUAUAAAUUUAUUAAUAAACAGA